rnacentral:sRNA from 1 species
ACAAGGCUUCCGUAGGUGAACCUGCGGAAGGAUCAUUAUCGUGCAAAACAUGUGAGAGGUGCACCUCGAGGUUGUCGCUGAUGCUCGUGCACGCCGGAGCAUGUCCUCUCACAUGACACAAUCCAUCUCACCCUUUGUGCACCACCGCGUGGGCACCCUUCGGGAUCAGACCGAUCUCUCAGGGGACUCGCGUUUUCACACAACACACCCCCCUUUUAAAAAGUGUAGAAUGACCUCAUUUAUUUGAUCAGUACAACUUUCAACAACGGAUCUCUUGGCUCUGGCAUCGAUGAAGAACGCAGCGAAAUGCGAUACGUAAUGUGAAUUGCAGAAUUCAGUGAAUCAUCGAAUCUUUGAACGCACCUUGCGCCCCCUGGUAUUCCGAGGGGCACACCCGUUUGAGUGCCGUGAAAUCCUCAAACUCCUUGGUUUCUUCUGGAGACCAAAGGAGGCUUGGACUUUGGAGGCCUUUGCUGGCAUCUUUUGUCAGCUCCUCUUAAAUGAAUUUGCGGGGUCCUCUUUGCCAAUCCUCGACACGUGAUAAGAUGCUUCCGUGUUUCGGUUUCUGGCUCU